CGCAGCUUUGUCAAAUUCAGUGUUUCCUUGUCAGUGGACUGCACUGGCCAAAAUGGCUGCAACAUUAAAUAAGUGGUAAUGGGCCCCAUGUUCUUAUAAAGUGGAUGCUGGGGACAGAAAUCAAACUACGUACAAAC